UUUAGAAGACAUCUACAAGUAAUUUUCGUUUCUCAAAGUAAUAGUGUACAUCAAUCAAGUCAAGUUUGUCACAAGAAAACCUCAUACGCGAAAACAGUGCUAGCUAUUAAUUAUAGAUUUUAGACUUAUUGAAUUUCGGUAAAAAUGGCCUGUAAGAAAAGUUCAAAUUCAUAUAAGUUUUAUAGUUAAUUAUUUACCAUAAUAUAAGUAUUAAUAUACAGUGCCUAUGUCGAAAUCCUCGCACAAAAUGAAUAAUUUAAGUUUACCAGAUGAUUGCGCGAAGCAGUGGGAAAUUUUGCUGCUGUUGCUUUCCUCGGAGGAGAAAAAAAUAGACCGGACUACAGAGAAAGAAAUCGACACUGUAAAUUAUUUCUACAGGAACGAAGGCGUAAGAAAAAUCCUGCUACAAUGGUUGAAGCAAAUGCACCAAUCAUAUGCGAGGAAGACUUCAGAAUGGGACACUGCACAGAAAUGCGAUGAUGUAUCGUUGUUGUGGAGGCAGCGGGGGAACGACAAGUUCCGGGCUGAAUUGUACGAGGAGAGCUACCAGUGCUACUCCAAGAGUGUGAUGUAUGCUCACCAGAAUGGCCCCAUGUUUCCCCUAGCACUGGCUAACAGGUCUGCUGCUUUGUUGAAGAUGAAAAAAUUCCAGGAGUGCCUCUCUGACGUGGACCUGGCGCUGGAGCACGGCUACCCCCGCGAGCAGCGACACAAGCUGUUGUUGCGCCGCACCGACUGCCACAUCGAGCUGCAGCAGCGGGAGAAGGCACUAGAGUCGCUGCAACUGGCCGCCACGCACGCCCUCUCGCUUGGCCUCUCUGCAGUACAUACAGCGGAGUUCGACCGGCAUAUAAAGAAGUUGGAGGAGAAGUUGGCGAACACGCCGCCCGCGCAGCCUGAGGCGGAGGAGCCCCUGCCGCCGCCCCUCGGCGGGGACAACCCUGACUUUGUGGCCGCCUCCACCGCCUUGGAACUUAGACGCAGUGACGUGGCCGGACGGUACGUGGUGACGCGGGAGCCGCUGCGUCGCGGCGACGUCAUAUUCUCGGAGGAGCCGUAUGCGUGGGUGGCGCUGGCGGCCGAGCUGCCCGUGUGCGAGGCCUGCUGCGCCACCACCAGCAACCCUACGCCUUGUGUGCAGUGUUCGCGCAGCGUGUACUGUUCGCUGUCGUGCCGUGCGCGCGCGCACAACGUACACCGUUGGGAGUGCGCAGGCGCACAGGCAGACCUCUUUGCUACUAUUGGCAUUGCGCACUUAGCUCUAAGGGUGUUGUUGGUAACAGCGAAUGAAGGCUUCCCCGCGGUGCCGCUCGGGCAGCCGGCGCCUUCGUCCGCGUGCGACUUGUUCACCAGCUACUCACAGGUCGACGACCUCCGCAUAUACAGCGCGGACACGUCGCCAUUCUACAGGAUGUUUAAUCUCGUCACCAACUUCGAUAAGAUGAACAACGCUGAUUACAUACAGUAUGCUCUGACGGCGACAAUGCUGACACUAUACCUGGAGAAUUACACGGAGUUCUUCCGGUUCCUGCCGUCGAGGGUUCCGUACAGACUGACGGAGUCCCAGCUGCGCACGUUCGUGGCCGCCCUAAUGCUCAGGAGUCUCGGCCAACUGGUCUGCAAUGGUCACGCGGCGUUGUCUCUGCUCGUGGAUAACGAUGAAACUGGCUGCACGAUAUCUGAGCGGGAAGUGAGACGGGCCACCGCUAUAUACCCGUCUGCCGCCAUGAUGAACCACGCCUGCGACCCCAACAUCAUCAACACGUUCCACAACAGUCGGCUGAUAAUCAGGUGUUCCCGCGAACUGCCCGCUGGGGCCGAAGUCUUCAACUGCUAUGGGCCGCACAAGGCCCGCGAGCCCACGGCCCAUCGUCGGGCCCAACUCAGGGCCCAGUACUUGUUCAACUGCAACUGUUCAGCGUGCAAUGACAACGAGAGAAAGGAUUUUGUGCUGCUGUUUACGGCUUACGCGUGCCAAUCGUGCAAAGGGCCGGUGGUGUGGGGUCGCAGGACGUCGUGUCCGCAGUGCCACGCCGAGUUCCAGCUCGAGCGCGCUCUCAGUGCACUCGAGCACGCUGACGAACUACUGGCUCAGGCUGAUCGCGCGAGUAGCCUGGACGUGAGGUGUGAGCGCACGCAGGCGGCGCUGCGCGUGAAGCAGCUGGCGUGGCACCGGCACCACCGCGGGCUGCGGGCGCUCGCCGACCGCCUCGCCCGCCUCUACGCUGACCUUGGCGAGUUCAGCAAGAGUGUGGAACUCAUAAAGCAGAAUAUCCAAAGCCUCGAGUACCAGUUUGGAUCGUUCAGUGCUGAGGUGGCGCACGAGCUGAGGAAGCUGUCCGAGGUGAUGCUGGAGAGGAUCAUCAGGUCUCCGCAGAACCCUGACUACAGAGAUUGGUGCCUCGAAGGACACAAGAUAAUAAAGAAGGCGGUUCAGCUGACGGAUCUGAACUACGGUUCUUGGGAACCGCUAGUCAAACGUCUGAAAGAACAGGAGUCCCUCAUAGCCACCUUCUUAUCAGAAAGCAGGGCGCCCGACGACGACUGUGUUCACCAUAACUUACAUUAUAACCUUAAAAUAUAGUACACAUGUAUUCACGUUAUACAAUGGGGUCGUUGCCGUCAAAAUCUUUGAUGAUCACGUGUUUUUUAUGCGUUCAAAAUAUAAUUUAACUAGAAUUAAAAAGAAUUAUUAAUAAACAUGCUACGCAUUUACAAUGGUGCGACUUUUUUGCUAUACAAUGCCAAAUAGAGUGAUCAAGAUUGUUGGUUUUUAUUAACCACCCAGUGUUGCCCGGCGAAGAGGACACAGCGCCCUUAUUUAUCUAUAGACAGGCUGUUUUUUUCCCAGGUAAAUACCCUAUUCAGUUAACGGUAGUUUUAAUAAACCGAACACUACACUGCGUACAUGUUAACAUAUAAUUAUAAAACCAAUUGUCAUUAUCUUGUUAUUUUCUGUAAUUUUCCAGAUCAUUGUUGAUGUUUUAUUAAAUGUAACUCAAUAAUAUUAAGUUUGUACAAGAUUGGUGAUUAUGUGUGUACGUACACAAAGCAAGUUACAUUGUAACAUUACAAUAUCAUUCGUGUUUUAUAUCACCAUUUGCAUAACACUUUAAGUGCUCCUAAGACGUAGUCUGUUCAGUGAUGGGUUUUAACCCGAACCUGGUUUAAAACUGGGUGGGUUUAAACCAGACCCGGGUUUUAACCCAUCAGUGUGUAUGACUCAUUCACUCAUACAUUUAAACAAUAAACAUUUAAUUAGCACGGUACGUGUUAGGGCGGUAACACACCUGCACACUUGCAUGCCAAAUGCCAGCACGUGUCGCUGUAUACAAAAUCAUAGCACGUUGCACACGCCAUCUACUCGCCCGUUGGAGGAUACAUUUUCAAUACAUGAUCGAUGUUGCCUAUUGGAUAUGAUUCUUUAAUACAAACAUUUAACCUAAAAUUGUAGAUUAAUGCGAAUCGAUUCGGCUAUUUACCUAUUUAUUACAGUUUUUAUGGUCACUCGAUUUACUAAUGGACCAGAAGAGUAUAUUAAAUUUAAAAUAAUAAAAGUUUGUAAUAUUGUAAAUAUAUUAUAUACACUAAACUAGCCAAAUAUACCUAUAUAUAUGGGUAUAUAUAUAAAAUUUUUGCACUGUUUUAUACACUACAUUUUGCGCCUACGCACAUCAAGUGGAACAGGCGAGAUUCCUCACUGUAUUUAUUACAAAAUAUCGUCUAACUAUGAGUAUAUAAACACGAAAUACGAAAAAUUCUUAUUGUAACGGAUAAGACAACAUCUUUUUUAUUAUCUAAUUAGAUGAACUCGAAAAGUUACCUUUUGGAUAACGUAAACUAACAACCUAAAAAAAACCUCACAGGUUGCAAUAGUCACCUGGCUAUGCUUUUCGAGACUUGGUACCAGAAUAAAAACGCCCAACUACAAAGUUACGGCUAUUGCUAUAGAAUUGACAUUAUCUAAUAAGUAAAAUUUUAAUAGGGAUCUAAAGGGACUAACGACAAAUUCAAUUGCACCCGGGGAAUUGAAUCUAGAAGUGAAAAUAUGUUUAAUUAAAAUAUGAAUUACUAGAUAUUGCCCGGGGCUCCACUCCCGUGGGAGUUUUGACACAAAAUAUCAUUAUAUCUACACAAAAUAUAGCAAUCUUGGAUAAUAUACCCUUCUAAUGGCGAAUAAUUUUUGAAAUCGGUUUGGUGGUUUCGGAGUUUACCCUUGUGUGUUCAGUAUUGUUUAUAUAUGUUUUUUGUUUACAGAGAUAACUCAGCGUUUUUGUAUACAUAUGUUUAUAUUGUAGAUGAAUGCAUAGUCUUGUUCACUAAAAUAAUUACAUGUGAUGAUUAUAUUAUUAGGGACAGUUUUUACCCAAAAUGAAUUGAACAAUCAAUAUUGUACACUAGUAUCGAUUUAGACCUAACACCGAUAUAAUAUUAACCAAAAUAUACAUAUGUUAUACUUUUGUAUAGAAAUAAUGUAUUGUUGAUACAAAUAUGUUUGUUUGCUAAUAACAUAAUUUUAUUACUAGAAGUACCACCUAGUAAUAGAUAUCAUAUUUUUGAACAUAGCUUUAUAGCUUUUGCCGUGCGUUUACAAUAAUAUACUUUGUCAAUCAAGGCCUAUAUUUAAACUCCGUUUUUCAUAAAAAAAAAUGUCGUAUAUAAGCUAAACUAUGUAGUAUAAGCUAAACUAUGUUUGUCACUGUCGUACUUGACAAUAUUUGACAUUGACAGAAUGAGACAAAACAUAUUUCAAAAGUGCUUUAACUUUUUUAUUAGUGUAAUGUUUUGAACACUGCCCAAAUUACAAUAUGGUCAUUACAUAUAUAUUACAACAAUUUCCAAAAAUAAAACGAAUGAAAUUGUACACUCAUCACCGGGAUUUAUAAGGGAGAACAAAAAUAAAUAUAUUUUUUAAAUCGGUUUAAGUAAUUCAAAUGCAGGCCUACCAUCAACUCUUACGGAACGAUUCAAGUGCAACUCAGUUCAAUUUAGAAACCUAAAAUGAAAGGUAUUCAUACAAAAAAACAACUUGAUGGUACGAAUUUGCGAUGCAGAUCAGUUUAGGUCCUGAACUGCAUAGCUUAAGGUGCUUUAUCCCUGCACAUUAAUGCCACCUCACAUUUUCAUUAAUUUAUUUUAUUUAAUUUAAACAAAAUUGUUUUGCGUUCGGGCUCGGCUAAUUUUUUUUUUUCAAAUAGUGUAUUAUUUUCGAAAUAACAAGCUAGGAUGUUUAGCUGUAGUGCACCGUAGUUAAGAUAUUUAUAUACAUUUAAAAAAAAGGAAAAAUUUACAAAAUUUUCCUUGAAAUUAACCAGCGCUCCCAGCGGCAAAUUUAACCGCGUCAGCUUUAAGUCGUAUUCUUUACAUUGUUCCGGUAAUUGUAUUCCGAGUGUAUGUAGUCUAAUAUAUAUAAUCUACUAGCGGCCCCUCCCGGCUUUGCUCGAAUAAAACCAUCCGUUGCGUUAGUAAUAAAGAUCUAGAUACAUGAAACAGACAGCGGGAAGUGACUUUGUGUUUUAUACUAUGUAGUGAUACGUUUCGCGACAUGGGUUUUGGGACAUUUCAUGUUUAAGGGUAUAAUACGACGAAUACUGCUCUCAUUGACACCAAUACACUUUAGAUAAAGAUUUAAUAUAUGUAUAGGGCAGGUGGAGGGUUUCUGCUCGAGAAUUCUUGAGAAACUUAUUUUUAGUCGACAUGGGAAAAUUUUGUUUUAUUUUUUAUGCUUUUUCCAGUUUGAAUGGCAGUGAAUCAACAUGGCGGGAAUGUUACAAACAUUGUAUUUUUACUAAUAGGAUCUAAGUGUUUAGUGUGAGUUUACGCAGUCGGUCGCAGCCACAAAUCACAGUGUAGUAUAAAGCGACAAACAAACGUGAUUGGUUGGCUGCGCCGCCAGCGGUAAAAAGUGAACGCGACCAAGUUGAAAUUGUAUACUCACACUAUUUGCUCCCAAAAUCUGCUCAUUUUAGGGGAAGCGAAUGAAUGAUAUGAGCGGAAAUAAUCAACAAAAUACAUCGAAACAAUCCAUAAAAAUAAAUAUACAUUUAUAUAUAUAUACUUAUAGGCAUAAGUAAUAAAAUAAUGAAACUGUUGAAUGGAUUAAGCUAUUUAAGCGACGUACAAAUAUAUCUUUAAAGUGCACUUGUAAAUCACAGAAAUCUACAAUACAUAUAAAUUGGUAGGAACUUACCUGCAAUGCGGCUGCUUUUUCUAUUAGUCAUUGUCUUGCAAAAAUGGAGAUAUAGAAUUUGCUGUUUGGUUAACUAAUUGUGAGAGAUUAAUUAUAUUCUUCUAGUUUCGUGAAAUAUAAUUGCCAUUUUCGAGAAAGAAAUAUUAUUUCGCUAUUUGCUUACUAGCUAUGAAAUUAAAAUACUUUCGCAAAAAUGGAAAUUUCCAUUUUUGCGAAAGUAUUUUAGUAAAUAAAUAUAAUGGGACAAAUCACACCCAAGCUAACCCCAAAAUUUGUUGCGCCUUGUCAUGGCCUUUUUCUUUUACAAAAAGAAAUUAUAUGUAUGUACGCUUUUUUGUUUUCCCUUUGCAUUUUACACACAAAUAUGAAGUUACUGGACACUCGCUCACUAAAUAACAUUGUAAUAAGUCAAUCACUAGCUUAUACACAAUACACCUUUAGCCAUUAAUGUUUAAUAUAGUUAAUAAAUCAUUCCCUCUGUGGAAACUUAUUAGUGAGAUUUUUAUAAAUGUUGAAUAGUUUAAAAUAUAUGUAUACGCGCAACGUUCUAAAUCAUAAGCAAUAGCAGUGUACCUUAUUCUUAAGUAAAUAAAGGCUUUCAUUCGAUA